rnacentral:rRNA from 1 species
UAAACAUUGACAGUACAUCACACCCACUGUCCGCCCGGGAAUUACGAGCACCAGCUUAAAACCCAAAGGACUUGGCGGUGCUUUAGACCCACCUAGAGGAGCCUGUCCUAGAACUGAUAAUCCCCGUUAAACCUCACCCUUCCUUGCUUUUUCCGCUUAUAUACCACCGUCGCCAGCUUACCCUUUGAGGGACUAAUAGUAAGCAAAAUCGGUACAACCCAGAACGUCAGGUCGAGGUGUAGCGUAUGGAAGGGGAAGAGAUGGGCUACAUUCACUAGUCCAGUGAAUACGAAUGAUCACUCUGAAACGAGUAUCUGAAGGAGGAUUUAGCAGUAAGCAGAAAGCAGAGUGUUUUGCUGAAGCCGGC